AACAUUCACAAAGUGACAUCACUCAAACCCACUUGGCCGAAAUCCAAUAUCUCUAUGGCGCAAGCAUUCGCAUCAGGCACGGAGGAGGACCAAUAACCACAAAAUCUACAUCAAUCUGAUCGCCACACCUCUCUCUACUAUAAUCUCAAGCUUAUUUCCUCCAAAUCCUCAUCAAACGGACAAAUCGAAACUCACAAAACCUGAACCCUAACCUUUCAGAUUUGAAAUUAAACCGUGAUAACUCAAGAAUUUGGUCCCAAGGUUUAGGGAUAACGCUUCUCAGGACAAAAUCUACGAUAUGGCAAUGAUUUUCCCAACGAAAAGGGAAGACGAGCUUACCUCCGAAUCGGAGCUUCACUCCGAUGAUGCGAUGGAUCGAAGAAGACGAACAAGGAAUGCUUCUAAUCAAGUGGUGGGAUGCAAAAUUUGUUCUGUUUGGCGAGGUCCGAAUUAUGAUUAGAAGCUAAGUGUUCAGACCUCCUUCUGGCAUGUGAUUUUGCAAGGUUGUUGUAAUGAUGAUCUUGCUUAGCCUUUGGUCAUGAAUUAAAGGCAUUAAAGUGGUGCUAUCAAGACAUUCAAGAGUGAUGGCUUGCUAGCACAUGAAGGAAGUUAUGGCACAUGGAGAGGUUAUGGCACACAUGGCAUGAAAAGAUGUUCAAGGCAUGGUGGAAUAUGAAAGCAAAAGAGCUUCAUUAGGGUUUUAGGAUCAUGUAGUUGACUAAAAGUCAACAGUUGGCUAAAGGACAACAGUUGAUUAAAAGUCAACAGUUGAUUAAAAGUCAAUAUUUGACUAAAAGUCAACAUUUGACUAAGAAGUCAACUAUACCAAAAUCUUCAUUUUUUGUAAUUUCACGGAGUUGGGUCAUUUGAAUGUAGUGUAAUAGAUAAUUUUUAGAUGAAAAAUUGUUUCUUAAA